UUGACCUCAAAUCAAGCAAGACUACCCGCUGAACUUAAGCAUAUCAAUAAGCGGAGGAAAAGAAACUAACAAGGAUUCCCCUAGUAACUGCGAGUGAAGCGGGAAAAGCUCAAAUUUAAAAUCUGACAGUGGUUUCACUGUCCGAAUUGUAAUCUAGAGAAGUGUUGCUCACACUGGACCAUGUAUAAGUCUUCUGGAAUGAAGCGUCAUAGAGGGUGAGAAUCCCGUCUUUGACAUGGACUGCCAGUGUAUUUGUAGCAUGCUCUCAAAGAGUCGAGUUGUUUGGGAAUGCAGCUCUAAAUGGGUGGUAACCUCCAUCUAAAGCUAAAUAUUGGCGAGAGACCGAUAGUGAACAAGUACCGUGAGGGAAAGAUGAAAAGAACUUUGGAAAGAGAGUUAAAAAGUACGUGAAAUUGUUGAAAGGGAAACGCUUGAAGUCAGUCACAUUGGCCAGGGAUCAACUUAUUUUGCUUAAGUGUACUUCCUGGUUGAUGGGCCAACAUCAGCUUUGACUGUCAGAGAAGGGUAGGGGGAAUGUGGCACCCUCUUGGGUGUGUUAUAGCCCUCUGUCUUAUAUGGCAGUUGGGGCUGAGGAAUGCAGCGCGCCACAAGGCCGGGCUUCGACCACGUUCGCGC
rnacentral:rRNA from 1 species